rnacentral:rRNA from 1 species
GCGCAGCAGUCGCGAAACCUCCGCAAUGCGGGAAACCGCGACGGGGGACCCCGAGUGCCGUGGCAACGCCACGGCUUUUCCGGAGUGUAAAAAGCUCCGGGAAUAAGGGCUGGGCAAGGCCGGUGGCAGCCGCCGCGGUAAUACCGGCGGCCCGAGUGGUGGCCGCUAUUAUUGGGCCUAAAGCGUCCGUAGCCGGGCCCGUAAGUCCCUGGCGAAAUCCCACGGCUCAACCGUGGGGCUUGCUGGGGAUACUGCGGGUCUUGGGACCGGGAGAGGCGGGGGGUACCCCUGGGGUAGGGGUGAAAUCCUAUAAUCCCAGGGGGACCGCCAGUGGCGAAGGCGCCCCGCUGGAACGGGUCCGACGGUGAGGGACGAAGGCCAGGGGAGCAAACCGGAUUAGAUACCCGUGUAGU